rnacentral:rRNA from 1 species
GGAUUAGAUACCCUGGUAGUCCACACCGUAAACGAUGUCUACUAGCUGUGUGUGUAUUUGAUACGUGCGUAGCGCAGCCAACGCGAUAAGUAGACCGCCUGGGGAGUACGGCCGCAAGGUUAAAACUCAAAUGAAUUGACGGGGGCCCGCACAAGCGGUGGAGCAUGUGGUUUAAUUCGAUGCAACGCGAAGAACCUUACCUACACUUGACAUUCAGAGGACUUACUAGAGAUAGUUUGGUGCCUUCGGGAACUCUGGGACAGGUGCUGCAUGGCUGUCGUCAGCUCGUGCCG